rnacentral:rRNA from 1 species
GACGAACGCUGGCGGCGUGCUUAACACAUGCAAGUCGAACGAGUGGCGAACGGGUGAGUAAUACGUGAGUAACCUGCCCUCUUUUUGGGAUAAGCCUUGGAAACGGGGUCUAAUACCGGAUAAUGGGGGAUGGGUCCGCGGCCUAUCAGCUUGUUGGUGGGGUGAUGGCCUACCAAGGCGGUGACGGGUAGCCGGCCUGAGAGGGUGACCGGCCACAUUGAGACUGACAAACGGCCCAGACUCCUACGAGAGGCAGCAGUGGGGGAUAGUGCACAAUGUGGAAAAGCCUAAUCCCGCGACUCUGCGUGGGGGGUGAAGGCGUUCGGGUUGGAGUCCUCUUUCGAUAUCGAUCAGGUAGGUGGAGAAGAAGCGCCGGCUAACUACGUGCCAGCAGCCGCGGUAAUUC